GUUGGUUCGGCAGCGCACAGCUUUCGGGCGCCCUGAGGAGGCGGCGCACCCGGAGAUGCCUCGCGGGGGCCGCUGUGGCAGCGGGAAGACUAUCUCUACAGAGAAAAAGAAAUUGGGGUAUAGACUACCCAUCCUUUCCAGGAGAGACUCCACUACAGUGCAGAAGAGUGGGUCUCAGGACCGUAGGGGCAGCUGCUUCCCUCUCUGAAGCAUGGCUCAGGUGUGGAGAAGGAUUUCAGGAGACUGCUGGGACUCCGGCUUUUAAGGGCAGACUCUCUUCUGUUGCUCUUCUUUGUAUCCUGGGUGGCUAAGGCCAGGCUGGGCUAGGGCUGCCAUGACGCCGUGCUACAGACUGGGUGGUUGGACCAACAGAAGCUUACAGCCUCACAGUUCUGGACGCUGGAAGUCCAAAGUGAAGUACCAGUAUCAGCAUUCUGGCUGUGAUGCUGUACUGUAGUUCUGCAGAAUGUUACCAUUGGAGGAACUGGGUGAGGCAUACAGGGCUGCUUCUGUUUCUGACAAAUGUAUACGAGGCAACUGUUACAUCAAAAUAACAAGCUUAAGAAGCCACUCAGGUGCAUCAUGAAGCAGCACAGAGCACAGCCUUUCGUGAAAUGGAAGAAUCAGAAGACACUCAGGGAACGACUGGCCUCGUGACUUGCACGCGUCUUGGUCAACUUGAGUAGAGGCGUAGAGUUAAAGCCCUUUUUCUACACUAAAGGCAAACUCCCUGUGAGAGAGUCAUUUUCUUUACUAAUUUACUUUAAACAGGAAGGUCCCCUGGGGUCGGGCUCAUUUUGCUGUAUCUCAGUUGCAGAAGGGACUGACUUUCCAGCCUAGCUGCCUCUGGUGAUGUGAGCAGCCAUGCACGCUGGGCCCCAGCUCCUGCAGGCUCGCAUCCUGCGCUGAGCUCCACUGCUGCCCCUCCACCACAAAGGCUGGAGGCCAGUCCCACCUCCCUGAUGGGCUUUGAAGUUUCUGAAGGAGGUUCACAAAAUCUCUUCUGCCCUUGCCUUUCCCUAGACUCCCAGCUUUCCUCCCACGUCACCUUCUGAUCGGAUCUGUGCUCUGCCACUUCCUUAAAGGAACGUCCUCAAGCACCUGCCCUCCGCGCCCACUCCCCUGUAGCUCUGAUGGGCCUUUCCUUAUCUUUCCUACUUACCAUGUCCUUAUUAGUCACAGCAACAUUUCAAUACGGGAGUGUUUUGUUUUCACAGGCUGUACAAACAACGCUUAAUCUUUCCAACAUUCCCUGUAGAUUUCCAAGUACAACCCCUACAGGUUGCAAGUAUGAUAAUUACUGUUUUCAUUUUGACCUUGAAUUUAUUACAAAAUAUUCUGGACAACAAAUGCUGUUAAACUUUACAGGUACUUGGUAUUUCAUUUUGGUGAAGGCUUUUUAAAACAAUAUAAUAGCAACAAUAAAAUAAAAUUAUCCAGACCAUCUGCCUCCACCCAUGAAAGAAAUUCCUACUCUGGAAAUUAUCUUCCUGCCAUAAAACCUAGAUAACAAAGAAAAUAAAUGAAAGGCUAUUUUUAGAGACUGAACAACAGGCAGUGUGUGAAAGGAAUCCCUGAGAGAAGAGAGACAAGAUAAGUUCUACGAUUGCUCAGCUUACCUCCUGGAGGUGCAUCCAGGCUGCAGCACAGGGAAGGGAGCCUGCGCGAACAAGAGGCCUGGCUGAGCAGGAAGAGAUUACAGUCUAGGGAGGCCGAGGCAGCUGGGCUCUGGGCAGAGAACCUAGAUGACAGGGCCUGCAGAGAAGGAGUGAUUCUGAGAUCUGCAGGAGCCCCGCUGUGUCUGGCAGACCUAAGUGCUGUGUGUAUAGAAUGAAAUUCCAUAUGGCAUAUGAGGAACCACCAGAAGGUAGUAGAUGGGCACAACUGCCAGAAUUCACUCAGGCAGAUGGAGGGACCUCAUAGGACCCAGGACACGGGACCAAGUCCUAACACCUUAGUAAUGGGGUUAAAGUAAUCCUACAAUAAAGGCUGCAUUAUACCCACCUAAAUAAACCUUUAAAACCAAUCCAAAAAACAAACAACCCAGUCCAAAAAUGGGCAGAUCUAAACAAGCAAUUCUCCAGUGCAGCAGGUAGAUUUGAGUUUGAUAGGCAGAAGCUGAAAACUGAUCACAGACUAUCCAGGAUGCUUAAAGUUGGGGGUGGAUCUCUAACUGAGCAAGGACUCGUGUGCCUUCGGUGCAGAAAGCCAAACACACAGCAGAUGUUGGCAGCAAAAUAAGGGUAUAUUUGCAGGCGCCAAGGAGGGAGUGGGACACAAGCCUCAGAGUCAUUCCAGCCUGGUCUUUGAUUUGGGGGUGUUUUAAAGAGGAGAACAAAGAGGCUGGGAUUAAUCAUUGUCCUGUGACAUUUCUACAUUUCUUAAUCAUGGUUUUGGGACGACUCUGGUGGCUCAUGGCCCAGGGCCUGUUAGCUCAUCAUGCUCUACAGAAACCUGACCUUGUCUGUUAAGGACGGAUCGACUGCUGAGUUGUCAGAUUCUGGUUGGUUUGUGUUCAUUUAGCACAAGAUUGAGGUCAGAGGGGACAAGUAAGGAAACAAAAGUAUAGGUAGAGAGGUUAAUCAUAAAUGCAGUAAGGAAACUAGGUUUUAGGGGGACUCAGUUUCAGAAAUAAGGCUGUUACCUAGGACCCCGCAAAUCCUGAAUUUCACUGGACAGACUUCCUCUCUGGCUGUUGUGGCCCCAUCUCCACCCUGCCCCACAGGGCAAGGCGGCUGCAGAGGAGCCAGAACUGGGCCCCAGGGAAGCUCUUCUGGAGUCCCACCUCUGGGGCUGGCAGAACCCGCCAAGUGCUCUGAGAGGCCUGUUCCUGACGAGACUGGGCCUGGCUCAGCAGCCCUGCCAGGCGUUAGGUCACAUGGAGCCUCCCCGCUUGGGUCAGGCUCAGAGCAGAGCUGGGACUGGCCCCUCCAGGCCCGGGUCUCACAGGAGCAGCUCUGCUGUCGGCUGUGGCUGAUGAACCAGAGGGCUCCGUCUCCGGCUGGGUCUCCAUCAGGUCCCCAUGUUUACACUGAAACCACCAUCAUUAUGUGUCGUUCAAGGGACAUUUUUCUCCCAAUCAAGCGCUGAGUCUGGCUGGGUCGGUUGCUGGAAAGUCGGUCUGUUUUUCUUUAAACACAUCUGCUGGGCUUCUGGCAGAGCUGUUGUAAACACUUCCCGUCACUCCUGCCUAGUUUUAGCCCCGAGUUUUGCUGGGAAGGACCCCAGGCCUUUGCUUUGCCCUCUCAGCAGGGCAUGAACAUUGUAAAACCUCCAAAACCAGGUGCUGCCUGCCCUGGAUGUGACGCCUCUGGUAUGAGAGGAGACUGAAGCCAAGGCUGGCCUGGGAUGGGGACAAGAAGGCACUGCUCAGGGCUGCUCAGGGCUGUUGUGUGUGCAAGAAGGAAGGAGGUGGCUGAGGGAGGAGCAGGGCAGGAGCCUGGCAAAGCUCCCACACAGCGACCGACCGUGCGGCCUUGCUGAUGGUGAGCAGCAGAGGGCGGGAGGCGGGCCUGGCUUCACAGGGGCUUAGCCUCUCGCUCGCUGUGGGACCCUGAGCAGGUCGCUCGGCCUCCAGUGACCCUGAGGCUCCUCUGUCACGGAGCUGGGAUCAUACUCAGACUCAGUGAGUGUCACCGGCAGCAUGUUUCCUUUCCGUUUAUUAGACUAGUAACUCCUGCAGGAUGGGAACCAGAUGGCCUUUAUCUUUGAACCCUGACAUGAACCCAGUACAUAUUAGGAAAUGUUAUAAAUGCUGGCUAAAUUGAAUGAAAGUCUGGGUAAGGGACAGAAAGUACAGAUACUAAUUUUGGGAGUUCAGCUAUCACUUUUUCUUGGAAAAACAUUCUAUUGUUGUUCAGAGACACUUGGCUGUGGAAUAGCUCUUACAAAGAGCAGUUUUUGUGAGUUAAGUGUAGAUGAUCCAACCCACAUGGAUCAUAUUUCCCUAUAAGUCCUUGAAUGUACUUUAGAAACAGAGCAGAGAUGGGGGAGGGGGGAAGACAGCACUUUUGGAAGGAAGGAAUUUGAGUUUACUGAGCCAGAGUGUAGGAGAGGAAAAAGGCAAUUUCGCCUGGUCCAAGGUGUAGCUGGAUUUUGCGACUACUAAUGAGAAGCAGGUACUGAAAAUACACUACAGCUCGUUAAAAAUCUCUCCAAGAAUGACCUCCUGCAGACCUUUUCCCCUUCCGUGCCUACUGACCCCAGAUGCUAGCACUGCAAGAUAAAGAUGUACAAGUUCAAUUUAAGUUCUAACCUGUUGUUUUGUCCUAAAUGGAUUUGAAAAGAAACGUUAGAGACAUCUGGACGAAGGCACCUGGGCAGGGACACCUGGACAGAGGUCUGUGGAAGGCGGAGCUGCACCACGUGGCAGGCCUGCCCUCCCUCGGGCUCCAUGGCGUCUCUCACUUUCAAUGCUGUUCCCAACUUCCCACCAGAUUGUGGAUGGGGUGGUAGCAGAUUCCUACAAAAUGUUGGUCAGGAAAGGAAGCUGUGGACACAGCGUGGAGUAAGAGGAAGCCAUUUCAUGUUCACUGUAAAGGAGGAAUGGGGACCCACCAAGAUGUCUUCAGCUCAGAGGAGCCUGGCCCAGGGAACUGUAGGUUGUGCUGCUGACGGGUACAGGGUUCCCAGGGCCCACGGGAGCCCAUCCUCCAGAGUCUGCUCAGAGCAGGAUGGGAGGCCACCUGAGGGCCAGGGCGGCCUACAAGGAACUGGGCAGACUCCACGUGGCAGCUGGGCCCCGAACUGGCUACCCCUGUUCACCCGACCCCAGGGCUCCACGGGGUUUCAGGAGAAACUUUCCUGCAACUCCACCUCUGCACUGCAGUCCCAGCAGGGGUGGCCUGGCUGCCAGUUCGGAGCAGCUUCCCCGGCACCAUCUCCUUCUGCGCACCAUUACCUCCCACCGAGGCUCCAGACAGUGUGUUCUGGUCACCUGUCAUCUGUAAAAACAAACAUCCCCUGACCUAAGUGACUUGGGCAGACAGUGUUGUGAUGGAUGCUGUGAGGUACAGACUUUGUGAUGUAGGCGGUCAGUCCGGAGUUGAACAAUCAAAGAAUGCGUCACAGACAGUGGGAGCCAGGUUUCUCGUUGUUGGGAAAAGAAGUGACAGAUGAGGCUGGAAGGAACCAUGCGCCAACCCCAGAGGCAUUAGCGUGACCUCGUGAUGAAAAACAUGUAUAAGGUGGACAGUUGCAGAAGUAAGCACAGACAUGUGUUCACGGGCGCUUCCCAGUCCUGCUGACUGAGAAGGUCGCCAUCCUCCCGACACCGACUGCCCUACCCCCAGACACCGUUCUCCAAGGAAAGGAGCCAAGGCUCUUGGGGAAGGGAGUGACUCCUGGGAUGGGGGGAGGAAAAUACAGGAUAAGCCUAAAUAUCUUGUGCCGCUGGCACGUGUGGCUGCUGCUCUUGGGGCGGUCCUGCCAGCCCGUGACCCCAGGACAGCCCCCCAGGGUCAGCCAGUCCCUCAGCUGCCCCCCUGCCCGCCCCCCAUUGCAGCCUGAGCAGAGCGCACUGCACCCACGAGGGCUCUGUGAGACUCAAACGCACGCUCUUUUCUGAGGGCGUGGGAAACACACAUUGUGGAUCGCUUGUGGGCAGGUAGCCGGUGUGUGUGUGUGGCCCUCAGAGGCAAUUUGGCAACAACCGCGGACAUUUGAAAUACACACAUCCUAAGACCCAGGUACUCUGUUCAGUAAUGAGUCUAGUUUUACUGGUACCAGGACAAAAUUGUGUUUUAAAGCCCAUCCGUGGUAACACUGUCUGUCCCACAAGCUCACCAGUGGUUACCUGGUUAAGUGAGUGGUGUGUCCCCUGCACAAAGGGAUACCACGCAGCUGUUAAACAGACACGGCAGGACUACUGUCCUGACACAGAAAUGCCGCAGGGCGUCACGGUGACAGAGCAACAUGCAGAGUCGUGAGAACAGCGCAGGGCCAUUUGUGGAAGAAUCUCUGUUCAGCAAAGCUCAUAAACAUCGUCUGUUUCUCGAGGGCUCCCAAGAAGCCCAGUAGUGGUUGCCUUGAGCUGAUUAGAUGGAAGGACAAGCCGAGGAGACAGGAAAACGUGCUUUUCCCUUUUGUAACUUUACAGUUCUGUUCAGGUGCAUAUUUACCUAUUAUGGAAGAUACAAUAUUAAAAUUAUGUAUAAUUUUGCUCUAAUAAACUUGGGGAAGUCAAAGUGUUAUUGAAUUUUAA